rnacentral:rRNA from 1 species
CAGUAGCCGCGGGAAUACGUAGGUGGCAAGCGUUGUCCGGAAUUAUUGGGCGUAAAGGGCUCGCAGGCGGUUUCUUAAGUCUGAUGUGAAAGCCCCCGGCUCAACCGGGGAGGGUCAUUGGAAACUGGGAAACUUGAGUGCAGAAGAGGAGAGUGGAAUUCCACGUGUAGCGGUGAAAUGCGUAGAGAUGUGGAGGAACGCCAGUGGCGAAGGCGACUCUCUGGUCUGUAACUGACGCUGAGGAGCGAAAGCGUGGGGAGCGAGCAGGAUUAGAUACCCCCGUAGUCCCUGUCUCUUAUAC